GAAUCUUCCGCAAUGGACGAAAGCUGACGGAGCAACGCCGCGUGAGUGAUGAAGGUUUUCGGAUCGUAAAGCUCUGUUGUUAGGGAAGAACAAGUACCGUUCGAAUAGGGCGGUACCUUGACGGUACCUAACCAGAAAGCCACGGCUAACUACGUGCCAGCAGCCGCGGUAAUACGUAGGUGGCAAGCGUUGUCCGGAAUUAUUGGGCGUAAAGGGCUCGCAGGCGGUUUCUUAAGUCUGAUGUGAAAGCCCCCGGCUCAACCGGGGAGGGUCAUUGGAAACUGGGGAACUUGAGUGCAGAAGAGGAGAGUGGAAUUCCACGUGUAGCGGUGAAAUGCGUAGAGAUGUGGAGGAACACCAGUGGCGAAGGCGACUCUCUGGUCUGUAACUGACGCUGAGGAGCGAAAGCGUGGGGGAGCGAACAGGGAUUAGAUACCCUGGGUAGUCCACGCCCGUAACCGAUGAGUGCUAAAGUGGUUAGGGGGGUUUCCGCCCCUUAAUUGCUGCAGCUAACGCAUUUAAGCACUUCCGCCUGGGGGAGUACGGGUCGCAAGGACUGAAACUCAAAGGAAUUUGACCGGGGGGGCCCGCACAAGCGGUGGGAGCAUGUGGGUUUUAAUUC
rnacentral:rRNA from 1 species